ACCUGUCAGGAUCAAACUGCAUCACGGAAGCUGCACACGAUGACACCCUGUCUGGAAAGUUUUUGCCAGAGGGCAAAAGACUGCAAGCAGAAUAUCCCUUUGCCAUUUCUCAUUCAGGCCUGGUGGUUGUCUGAAAGCAAACCUCAAGGAAAGGACUUCUUGGACUCCGCAGCUGCUGCAGGCUGCUGCUCCACCACAGGAAGUCCAGCAGGUGGCGCUGCACCCCGCGCGGACCCGGCUUGCCUGUCUUGGCCCCAGAGAGGUCAGUUGAUGCGCAGUCGGGAAGUAGGUCUGCGCGCACCCCGCUGCAGCUGUGGCAAACGCAAACGAUGACACACAGGCUUGACGAGGGCCUUUGUCAGAAGCAAUGGGGAUCUGGCGUCAGCGCACAAUGGGAAACAAAGUGCUUCUGCCUGGCUGGCCAGAAUGCACGUUUGCUCACUAUUGAUGCCGGGGCAUUUACAGGCAGAAUGAGUUCAUGUGAAAUUUCAGGAUCUGUCAUGACUCAGAUUCAAUUUCUGUAAACCAGAGUCAACAUUACAUUUCCCUUUACUCUGGGCCAUUCCUUGAAUUUUUAGGUCACCAGUUGUUUUUGUACUAACUGAAGGGAUUUGAGUAUUUCACAAGCACCUUAUUUUUAUUAUUAUUUUUAGGGCAUUACCAAUUUGGGACGGAUCUGUAGUGUGAGAGAUUGUUGUCACUCUUAGCUCCAAACAUAGGUUGGCUUUAUAUAUUAUUUACAUGUUCAGAAUUAUACUGUUUAGAAAUUCAAGUGAAACUUGCAAAAUACUUUUCUGGCAGGAAGCUCUGAAGAGGAUCGUUCAUGGAAACAAGGAUGACGACUUGGGUAAGAAAUGCAGGUGACUCGUGAGUGGGUAGGGAGUGGAAGAGAAGACGGCUGGGAGGUUUUACCGUUCAGAAAAAAAUGGAGACAACUAGAGUUGAUCUGAAGAUUAUGGCAGAAUUCAAUAUUGGGGGAAAGAAACAAGAUGGGGGUUAGAAAUUAGAAACAGCAGAGCUCCACAGGUUGGAAAGGUUGGAAAGGAUUUGAGCAAGAGAACAAGAAGGAGCCUGCUAAUAGCACCCUGGGUUUACAUCAAGAGAAGCACCUGGAGAGAAUUAACUCGGGAGGAGGCGGGGGCAUGGGAAACCUUUUCAUCUCCAAGAGCGAGCAGGAACAGCAGCUGGCCUGAACUUGAAGGUACACCAGGUAGCUUGCCUGGGCCAGGAGAAGGUGAUUCUCUUCUAUGUCUCUCUCCAAAUCCCUGCUUCUGAUGCUGCUCCUCUACCCGUAUUGAGGGGAAGAUACAUCCCUAGGAAGUUCACUGCACCCCAUUCCUUGUUCUGGCUAACUGGUCCCCUAGGAAUUUUUCUACUAAUUUUCACUUCCCCUUCUCACCUGGUGAAAUCUUAAACCUUACUGUUCAAUACAAGUUCUACCAAAA
rnacentral:lncRNA from 1 species